rnacentral:tRNA from 1 species
GGGCUCGUAGCUCAAUGGAUAGAGCAUCGGCCUUCUAAGCCGACGGUUUCGGGUUCGAAUCCCGACGGGCUCA